rnacentral:rRNA from 1 species
UGGGGAAUUUUGGACAAUGGGCGCAAGCCUGAUCCAGCCAUGCCGCGUGCGGGAAGAAGGCCUUCGGGUUGUAAACCGCUUUUGUCAGGGAAGAAACGCUUCGGGUUAAUACCCUGAGGUAAUGACGGUACCUGAAGAAUAAGCACCGGCUAACUACGUGCCAGCAGCCGCGGUAAUACGUAGGGUGCAAGCGUUAAUCGGAAUUACUGGGCGUAAAGCGUGCGCAGGCGGUCAUGCAAGACAGAUGUGAAAUCCCCGGGCUUAACCUGGGAACCGCAUUUGUGACUGCAUGACUGGAGUGCGGCAGAGGGGGAUGGAAUUCCGCGUGUAGCAGUGAAAUGCGUAGAUAUGCGGAGGAACACCGAUGGCGAAGGCAAUCCCCUGGGCCUGCACUGACGCU